UUAGCUACAGGCUUAACACAUGCAAGUCGAGGGGCAUCAGGAAGAAAGCUUGCUUUCUUUGCUGGCGACCGGCGCACGGGUGAGUAACACGUAUCCAACCUGCCCUUUACUCGGGGAUAGCCUUUCGAAAGAAAGAUUAAUACCCGAUAGCAUAAUGAUUCCGCAUGGUUUCAUUAUUAAAGGAUUCCGGUAAAGGAUGGGGAUGCGUUCCAUUAGGUUGUUGGUGAGGUAACGGCCCACCAAGCCUUCGAUGGAUAGGGGUUCUGAGAGGAAGGUCCCCCACAUUGGAACUGAGACACGGUCCAAACUCCUACGGGAGGCAGCAGUGAGGAAUAUUGGUCAAUGGGCGCUAGCCUGAACCAGCCAAGUAGCGUGAAGGAUGAAGGCUCUAUGGGUCGUAAACUUCUUUUAUAUAAGAAUAAAGUGCAGUAUGUAUACUGUUUUGUAUGUAUUAUAUGAAUAAGGAUCGGCUAACUCCGUGCCAGCAGCCGCGGUAAUACGGAGGAUCCGAGCGUUAUCCGGAUUUAUUGGGUUUAAAGGGAGCGUAGGUGGACUGGUAAGUCAGUUGUGAAAGUUUGCGGCUCAACCGUAAAAUUGCAGUUGAUACUGUCAGUCUUGAGUACAGUAGAGGUGGGCGGAAUUCGUGGUGUAGCGGUGAAAUGCUUAGAUAUCACGAAGAACUCCGAUUGCGAAGGCAACUCACUGGACUGCAACUGACACUGAUGCUCGAAAGUGUGGGUAUCAAACAGGAUUAGAUACCCUGGUAGUCCACACAGUAAACGAUGAAUACUCGCUGUUUGCGAUAUACAGUAAGCGGCCAAGCGAAAGCAUUAAGUAUUCCACCUGGGGAGUACGCCGGCAACGGUGAAACUCAAAGGAAUUGACGGGGGCCCGCACAAGCGGAGGAACAUGUGGUUUAAUUCGAUGAUACGCGAGGAACCUUACCCGGGCUUAAAUUGCAGUGGAAUGAUGUGGAAACAUGUCAGUGAGCAAUCACCGCUGUGAAGGUGCUGCAUGGUUGUCGUCAGCUCGUGCCGUGAGGUGUCGGCUUAAGUGCCAUAACGAGCGCAACCCUUAUCUUCAGUUACUAACAGGUCAUGCUGAGGACUCUGGAGAGACUGCCGUCGUAAGAUGUGAGGAAGGUGGGGAUGACGUCAAAUCAGCACGGCCCUUACGUCCGGGGCUACACACGUGUUACAAUGGGGGGUACAGAAGGCAGCUAGCGGGUGACCGUAUGCUAAUCCCAAAAGCCUCUCUCAGUUCGGAUCGAAGUCUGCAACCCGACUUCGUGAAGCUGGAUUCGCUAGUAAUCGCGCAUCAGCCACGGCGCGGUGAAUACGUUCCCGGGCCUUGUACACACCGCCCGUCAAGCCAUGGGAGCCGGGGGUACCUGAAGUACGUAACCGCAAGGAUCGUCCUAGGGUAAAACUGGUGACUGGGGC
rnacentral:rRNA from 1 species